GGGCGAUGGUUGUCCUGGGGUAAGCAUGUAGGGCGGAACGUAGGUAAAUCCGCGUUCUAUUCAGCCUGAGAUGUGAUGCCGAGCCGAUUGUGGUGAAGUGGAUGAUCCUAUGCUGCCGAGAAAAGCCUCUAGUGAGUGUUGUGGCGGCCCGUACCCUAAACCGACUCAGGUGGUCAGGUAGAGAAUACCAAGGCGAUCGGGUGAACUGUGGUUAAGGAACUCGGCAAAUUGCCCCCGUAACUUCGGGAGAAGGGGGACCUCUGCUGGUGAUGGGCUUUACGUUCUGAGCUGGUGGGGGUCGCAGUGGCCAGGGGGAAGCGACUGUUUACUAAAAACACAGGUCCGUGCGAAGUCGUAAGACGAUGUAUACGGACUGACGCCUGCCCGGUGCCGGAACGUUAAGGGGACCGCUUAGCCAACGCGAGUUGGCGAAGGUGAGAACUUAAGCGCCGGUAAACGGCGGUGGUAACUAUAACCAUCCUAAGGUAGCGAAAUUCCUUGUCGGGUAAGUUCCGACCUGCACGAAUGGCGUAACGACCUCCCCGCUGUCUCAACCACAGACCCGGCGAAAUUGCACUACGAGUAAAGACGCUCGUUUCGCGCAGCAGGACGGAAAGACCCCGGGACCUUCACUACAGCUUGACAUUGGCGUUUGGAACGUCUUGUGUAGGAUAGGUGGGAGACUGGGAAGCUGUCACGCUAGUGAUGGUGGAGUCAUUGGUGAAAUACCACUCUGGUCGUUUUGAACGUCUAACUCUGGUCCGUGAUCCGGAUCGGGGACAGUGUCUGGUGGGUAGUUUAACUGGGGCGGUUGCCUCCUAAAGAGCAACGGAGGCGCCCAAAGGUUCCCUCAGCCUGGUUGGCAAUCAGGUGUUGAGUGUAAGUGCACAAGGGAGCUUGACUGUGAGACUGACAGGUCGAGCAGGAGCGAAAGCCGGGACUAGUGAUCCGGCAUCGGCGUGUGGAAGCGGUGUCGCUCAACGGCUAAAAGGUACCCCGGGGAUAACAGGCUGAUCUUCCCCAAGAGUCCAUAUCGACGGGAUGGUUUGGCACCUCGAUGUCGGCUCGUCGCAUCCUGGGGCUGGAGUAGGUCCCAAGGGUUGGGCUGUUCGCCCAUUAAAGCGGUACGCGAGCUGGGUUUAGAACGUCGCGAGACAGUUCGGUCCCUAUCCGCUGCGCGCGCAGGAGACUUGAAGGGGGCUGUCCCUACUACGAGAGGACCGGGACGGACGAACCUCUGGUGUGCCAGUUGUACCGCCAGGUGCACGGCUGGUUGGCUACGUUCGGAAGGGAUAACCGCUGAAAGCAUCUAAGCGGGAAGCUCGCCUUGAGAUGAGGUCUCCCACCCUGUGAGGGGGUAAGGCUCCCGGUAGAUCACCGGGUUGAUAGGCCGGAGGUGGAAGCACGGUAACGUGUGGAGCUGACCGGUACUAAUAGGCCGAGGACUUGACCU
rnacentral:rRNA from 1 species